CGCCAGCCCCAUGGCGCUGUCGGGCUCCCUGAAGCCACAGCCUGCUCUGACUCCCACAGCCAAAUCGAGUCAAAGACCAAUUAAUAUUCUGAUACCUGUGGCCGCUGAAGUGAGGCGGAGCGGCUGGUUUCUUUUCCAUUUCACUCCCACUGUGGUUUCGCUUUCUUCCCAGCCCUCCUUUGAGCAAGGCCAGCCCGGCGGCUUCACGGAUACCGGCUUGAAAGGCCAGCAGCCGAGGUGGCCAGUGUCCCAGGUCCUAGAGAGCUCUUGGCAGCCUCUGGCUAUUGGUGUCUUCUGAAGCACACUGGAGUUACCAUGCCUAGGGUUCUGCAGGACUUACGUUUGAUAGGUUGGGAAACUGAGGCAAAGGGACUCUGUACCCUGAGGGCAUAAAACCAACAAGGAACAGAGCUGGUGUGCUGGCCCGGGUGAGCCUGUUUUCCCAAGAGCUGUCCCUCCAACAAAGAGGCUGGGAGUCCAUGGGAGGCCGGCA
rnacentral:lncRNA from 14 species